AGCUGCCCUUGGCCCUCUCCACCUUUCCCCUCCCGAUUCCUUGGAAAAUAAGCGUUCCUCCCCCACCCCCACCCCCAGCUCUACGAACACAAUAGAGAAGAAAAAAUUGUCUUUUAAGAUAAUUUCCUCCAAAUCCUUCUCAGUUUCAACUGCAUGAAGACAAAAUGCAGGCUGUUAAUUCGAUGAACAGAUUGUGAUUAGGCUGGGGGAGGCUAGAAUUGUAAUAAUUUUAUAGCUACAAUAAUAAAGACCCAGAAGUGGGCAAGACCUAUGCAAGUUCACAGACUAGGUUAAAGAAAAGGCCAGCGUUGAAGAUGUGGGUGAUUUCCAAGAAGGAUAAUCGACUUCAAGACAAGUCAAGAACACGAUCUGGGAAUCAGCUCCCUUGACCUAGAGGCCGGUGUCCUCCCAUGGAUGGCCUUUAAAACAACUGGCUGGCAUAUAAUAAGAGGGGCACCUGUUGGAAGACUCCGGAGAAGGAAGACGCAUCUGAAAUUUGGUGCCAUGACUCGAAUCGGGGGACCUCCCUUGGAAGAUCAAUCCCCUGUCCUCCUGCUCGGAAGAUCAAUCCCCUGUCCUCCUGCUCUUUACUCCAUGAGAAAGAUCCACCUACAACCUCUGGUCCUCAGGCCAACCAGCCCAAGGAACAUCUCACCAAUUUUAAAUCCGGUACCCACUGGAAAUUGGACUCUCCAACUCACCUGGCAGCCACUCCCAGAGCCACUGGAACUCUGGCCCAACACUCUCUGACUGACUCCUUCCCAGAUCAUCUCAGCUUAGCGGCUGAAGAUUGAUGCUGCCCAAUCACCUCAGAAGCUUCCUGGACCAUCACAUACGCUUUGGGUAACUCUUACAGUGGAGGAAGACAGGAACGUCAGAUCUCUGAGCCCAAGCCUGCAUAUAUACAUCCAGAUGGCCUGAAGCAAGUAAAGAAUCACAAAAGAAGUGAAAAUGGCCAGUUCCUGCAUGAACUGGUGACAUUACCUUGUGAAAUUCCUUCUCCUGGCUCAUCCUGACUCAAAAGCUCCCCCACUGAACACCUUGUGACCCCCACCCCAGCCAGCCAGAGAACAACCCCCUUUGACUGUAAUUUUCCACUACCUAACAAAAUCCUAUAAAACAGCCCCACCCCUAUCUCCCUUCUCUGACUCUUUUUGGAUUCAGCCUGCCUGCACCCAGGUGAUUAAAAAGCUUUAUUUCUCACACAAAGCCUGUUUGGUGAUUUCACAUGGACGCGCAUGAAACCUAGUAUGGUGCCUUGGUUGUGGCUGGCCUUUAUUAAAUAACCAGAGA